UACGUAGGUCCCGAGCGUUAUCCGGAAUUACUGGGCGUAAAGCGUCUGUAGCCGGGUGUGUAAGUCCGUUUUCAAAAACCUCGACUUAAUCGAGGGGAGGGAAUGGAUACUGCACAUCUAGAGAAUUUGGGAGGUUAUUGGAAUUUCCGGUGGAGCGGUGAAAUGCGUUGAUAUCGGAAGGAACGCCAAAAGCGUAAGCAGAUAACUAUAGAAUUUCUGACGGUGAGAGACGAAAGCUUGGGGAGCAAACGGG
rnacentral:rRNA from 1 species